AGUGAACGCUGGCGGUAGGCCUAACACAUGCAAGUCGAACGGCAGCACAGGAGAGCUUGCUCUCUGGGUGGCGAGUGGCGGACGGGUGAGGAAUACAUCGGAAUCUACUCUGUCGUGGGGGAUAACGUAGGGAAACUUACGCUAAUACCGCAUACGACCUACGGGUGAAAGCGGGGGGUCUUCGGACCUUGCGCGAUUGAAUGAGCCGAUGUCGGAUUAGCUAGUUGGCGGGGUAAAGGCCCACCAAGGCGACGAUCCGUAGCUGGUCUGAGAGGAUGAUCAGCCACACUGGAACUGAGACACGGUCCAGACUCCUACGGGAGGCAGCAGUGGGGAAUAUUGGACAAUGGGCGCAAGCCUGAUCCAGCCAUACCGCGUGGGUGAAGAAGGCCUUCGGGUUGUAAAGCCCUUUUGUUGGGAAAGAAAUCCAGCUGGCUAAUACCCGGUUGGGAUGACGGUACCCAAAGAAUAAGCACCGGCUAACUUCGUGCCAGCAGCCGCCGUAA
rnacentral:rRNA from 1 species